UGACGGAUGAUUUAAUUGCUUAUAAUAUUAUUCCACUUGAUGCUCCUAGCCCAACAAAUCGUAUUGGGUUUUUCCCCGAGGUUCAAGCAGCAAUCUCAGUUUUAAAGUAUAGGGGACUGCCAAAAUUGCCCGAGGAUUUUCCCAUCCCUACUACAAGAAAAGCUGAUGUUCUUGAUUUUCUGCACUACAUUUUUGGAUUUCAGAAAGACAAUGUUUCUAAUCAGCGCGAACAUAUUGUUCACCUUCUUGCCAAUGAGCAAUCACAACUUCGUGUUCUUGAAGAAGCUGAACCCGAAUUGGAUGAAGCUGCAGUGCAAAUUGUAUUCCUGAAGUCCCUUGAUAAUUAUAUAAAGUGGUGCAACUACUUGUGCAUUCAGCC